AUUAUUCUAAGAUAUUCCCCUUAUAAUAUCUUAAUACUCCUUUUUAUUAUUCUUAUAAAGUUAUAAUGUUAUGUGUGUGAGAGAGAGAGAGACAGAGAGUGUGUUUGUGUGUGUUAUGUCUACAUGCCCGCCCUUGACUGUACGAGAGUGUGUGUGUGUGUGUUAGCACUCCUCAGCUCUUAUACUUCUUUUUGACUUUUUGACUAAUAAACCAUAGUGUGUUACUCUUAAAAGAUCUUAAAGUGUGAAUCCAAUUCGUCAAUAGCCGCUUAAUACCGCUUCUGUGUGUCUAGGUGCCCGUCGUCAUUUCUUCUUCUCCCCUUUACUGGAUACUAGGUCUCCCUCAUGUUUAUUUCAUGUCAUUUUUAUCCACAACAAUACACAGGUGAAAUCAACAUAUGUAAAGCACUCCUAACUACACAAAGCAACAGCAAUGAUCUGCCACAGGAUGGAGUCUUAAGUACAUCACCCGAAACGUGCAGCCAACCUAUCCUAUUGCACAAGGCAGGAGCAGGCGUGGACAAGAUGUGAUCAUCCAGUGGCAAGUCGGAACGUGACACAUGCAGGCCUAAAGAAGGAGGAGGAGACAAAAGACACCCAUUCCACCACCGACAUAGACACACGAAUGGCACAUAGAGCAAACAGAAAUACACUGGAGAACGUAACACAGAUAUGUUCCCCUAGCUGAGAGAAAUAUCUUCGCCCCAGUAGACACCUACCAGAGGUUAAACAGAGGAAGAAUGAUUACCUUUGCUCAGGAGCUUGUUGUUUUAGUCUUCUCAAGGAAACUCUGAAAGAAUCCACUCUCAAAGGAAAUUCUUUGCCAGAUGACCCACCAAAAAAGCAACUGGAUAAGGAAAAGGUACAUGCCUUAACAGAUGCCGUCAUGACGGAAUUUCUAGACACAACUCCAGCUGAUGAGUGGAAUUGCCUAUGGCACAAAUGUAACAACGGGCAAUUUGCAAAUAAAAGAAAGAUUUAAUUUAUGGAAUAUUUACUAUUUCAGUAACAUUUUUUUUGUUGAAAAUCUUCUGUUGACCUGUUGUGAUUACUGUACAUGUAUUGGAGCACUGUAUUGCUUGCAUAUUUAAUGCAUCUGCAUAUUUGUUGAGCCCAUAAAUGUUUGUUUUUUUUUUUAUGGUGAAUGUGAGUCAUACAAAAAACUAUUAGAAUUCAUAAUCAUAAAGUGAACUAUUAAAAUAAUGACUACUGUUA